AGCUUUGUGCAGUGGCAGUAUCGUAGCCAAUGAGGUUUAUCCGAGGCACGAUUAUUGCUAAUUGAAACAGAGAAAUAAACUUGGCUGUGUGUUAUUCAAACUGCAGGGAACAGA
rnacentral:snRNA from 11 species